GUUCGUAAUAAUGAUAUUCGAUGCAUUUAAUAACAAUUUAAGUUACAAUACUAUAAUAAUAGAAUAGAAAAUACAAUAGUUACAACUACAAACGAUAAAACAGUUAACAAUAUUCGAUCAAUAUAACAAAUGAAACAUUGAUACCAAAUUCAUGAAUGUGGGAUGACUAAAUACCGUGACACGUCUUAUAGCAAUGCGAUUUUAUACUCAGCAAAAACAGUCACAAUAGGGAAUAAGUGAGAUCUGACGACGUAAUUGUAAAUAACAAUCAUUAUUAUACGUGGAAAAAUAUCAUUAGUUAGUAUAGACAAAUACAUAAACGAAAUGGUAAAUGUUUUUGAAUUUUGUAACUAUUUUUUGAGCAUGCGCAAACCCCAAAC
rnacentral:lncRNA from 1 species